rnacentral:rRNA from 1 species
UACGGAGGGUGCAAGCGUUAAUCGGAAUUACUGGGCGUAAAGCGCACGCAGGUGGCUGAGUCAGUCGAUUGUGAAAGCCCUGGGCUUAACCCGGGAAUUGCAGUCGAUACUACUCAGCUAGAGUAUGGGAGAGGGUAGUGGAAUUCCCGGUGUAGCGGUGAAAUGCGUAGAUAUCGGGAGGAACAUCAGUGGCGAAGGCGGCUACCUGGCCCAAUACUGACACUCAGGUGCGACAGCGUGGGGAGCAAACAGG